UACGUAGGGGACGAGCGUUGUCCGGAAUUAUUGGGCGUAAAGAGCGUGUAGGCGGCUUUUCAAGUCCUGCGUGAAAUCUCGAGGCUCAACCUCGAGCGGUCGUGGGAAACUGGAAGGCUAGAGUGCGGGAGAGGGAAGUGGAAUUCCAGGUGUGAGCGGUGAAGUGACGCAGAUAUCUGGAGGAACACCUAUUGCGAAGGCAGCUCGCUGGGACGUUACUGACGCUGAGACGCGAAAGCGUGGGGAGCAAACAGG
rnacentral:rRNA from 1 species